rnacentral:rRNA from 1 species
AUUCGCGGCCUAUCAGCUUGUUGGUGAGGUGAUGGCUUACCAAGGCUUCGACGGGUAGCCGGCCUGAGAGGGCGACCGGCCACAUUGGGACUGAGAUACGGCCCAAACUCCUACGGGAGGCAGCAGUGGGGAAUAUUGCACAAUGGACGGAAGUCUGAUGCAGCAACGCCGCGUGCGGGAUGACGGCCUUCGGGUUGUAAACCGCUUUCAUCCAUGACGAAGCUUUUGUGACGGUAGUGGGUAAAGAAGCACCGGCUAACUACGUGCCAGCAGCCGCGGUGAUACGUAGGGUGCGAGCGUUGUCCGGAUUUAUUGGGCGUAAAGAGCUUGUAGGCGGUUUGUCGCGUCGGGAGUGAAAACUCGGAGCUUAACUUUGAGCUUGCUUCGAUACGGGCUGACUUGAGGGAGGUAGGGGAGAAUGGAAUUCCUGGUGGAGCGGUGGAAUGCGCAGAUAUCAGGAGGAACACCGGUGGCGAAGGCGGUUCUCUGGACCUUUCCUGACGCUGAGAAGCGAAAGCGUGGGGAGCGAACAGGCUUAGAUACCCUGGUAGUCCACGCCGUAAACGGUGGGUACUAGGUGUGGGGGACAUUCCACGUUCUCCGUGCCGUAGCUAACGCAUUAAGUACCCCGCCUGGGGAGUACGGAAU